rnacentral:misc_RNA from 1 species
UCCGAGUUGACCCCGGCAGUCUCCCAAGAGUCCCCGCCAUUACGCGCUGGCAACUAGGGACAAGGGUUGCGCUCGUUGCGGGACUUAACCCAACAUCUCACGACACGAGCUGACGACAGCCAUGCAGCACCUGUGUUCCGGCUCCCGAAGGCACCCCCGCAUCUCUGCAGGGUUCCGGACAUGUCAAGGGCAGGUAAGGUUCUUCGCGUUGCAUCGAAUUAAACCACAUGCUCCACCGCUUGUGCGGGUCCCCGUCAAUUCCUUUGAGUUUUAGCCUUGCGGCCGUACUCCCCAGGCGGGGCGCUUAAUGCGUUAGCUACGGCACGGACAACAAAACGUCACCCACACCUAGCGCCCAACGUUUACAGCGUGGACUAC